UACAGAGGUCCCAAGCGUUGUUCGGAUUCACUGGGCGUAAAGGGUGCGUAGGUGGCAUGGUAAGUCUGGCGUGAAAUCUCCAAGCCUAACUUGGAAACUGCGUUGGAUACUAUCCGGCUCGAGGAAUGGAGGGGAGACUGGAAUACUUGGUGUAGCAGUGAAAUGCGUAGAUAUCAAGUGGAACACCAGUGGCGAAGGCGAGUCUCUGGACAUUUCCUGACGCUGAGGCACGAAAGCCAGGGGAGCAAACGGG
rnacentral:rRNA from 1 species